rnacentral:rRNA from 1 species
UACGGAGGGGGGAAGCGUUAUUCGGAAUUAUUGGGCGUAAAGGGCGCGUAGGCGGCUAGAUGUGUCAAAGGUGAAAUCCCUCGGCUCAACUGAGGAACUGCCUUUGAAACUGUCUGGCUUGAGGCCGGGAGAGGGUAGCGGAAUUCCCAGUGUAGCGGUGAAAUGCGUAGAUAUUGGGAGGAACACCAGUGGCGAAGGCGGCUACCUAGCCCGUGCCUGACGCUGAGGCGCGACAGCGUGGGGAGCGAACUGG